UGCGGGAUCGUCUAAUGGUAGGACAUCGCCCUUUGGAGGCGAGUAUGAACGUUCGAAUCGUUCUCCCGCAGCCA
rnacentral:tRNA from 4 species